rnacentral:lncRNA from 1 species
CACCUCGUGCUACAGUCGCUGCUGCUGCUCCCAGGGCUGUGGCUCCAUACAAGUAUGCCUCCAAUGUCCGCAGCCCUCACCCUGCCAUUCAGCCGCUGCAGGCCCCCCAGCCUGCAGUCCAUGUCCAGGGUCAAGAACCCCUGACUGCCUCCAUGCUGGCUGCAGCUCCUCCCCAGGAGCAGAAGCAGAUGCUGGGGGAGCGUUUGUUCCCACUUAUCCAAACAAUGCAUUCAAACCUGGCUGGAAAAAUUACAGGGAUGCUGCUAGAAAUCGACAACUCUGAGCUGCUCCACAUGCUGGAGUCCCCCGAGUCCCUCCGUUCCAAGGUGGAUGAAGCUGUGGCAGUCCUGCAGGCUCAUCAUGCCAAGAAAGAAGCUGCCCAGAAGGAGUCAAAAGCCAAAUAACCCCUCACGGCAUUCAGCUGAGGUCUGAAGACUUCCUAGUUUGUCUGUGGACCUCUUUCAAGAACCAAGUUACAAAUUCAACAGGUCAUUUUGUAUCAAAAGGUCAAUUAUGAAGCACCUAGAAUUUUUCAAUUAUAAGAAUAUAUUCUCUGGGUUCUGUUGUGGCCCAGAUGAUGGUAACUUUUUUUUCUAUUAUGAGUUCUGUUUUUUUUCCCCUCUCCCAGAAAUUGGUUUUGAUGUACCCAAGACUUAAGUUUCUCAAUAAAGGAAAUAAAAUCUCC